GCGAGGUGGUGCCAAUCCUAGAAAAUUCUUCGUAGUCCGGAUUGGAGUCUGCAACUCGACUCCAUGAAGUCGGAAUCGCUAGUAAUCGCGAAUCAGCAUGUCGCGGUGAAUACGUUCUCGGGUCUUGUACACACCGCCCGUCAUACCAUGGAAGUGGAUUGCACCAGAAGUAGAUAGUCUAACCUUCGGGAGGGCGUUUACCACGGUGUGUUUCAUGACUGGGGUAAAGUCGUGACAAGGUAGCUGUAGGGGAACCUGUGGCUGGAUCACCUCCUU
rnacentral:rRNA from 1 species